rnacentral:misc_RNA from 1 species
GAUGAAAACGCAGCGAAAUGCGAUACGUAAUGUGAAUUGCAGAAUUCAGUGAAUCAUCGAAUCUUUGAACGCAUAUUGCGCUCUCUGGUAUUCCGGAGAGCAUGCUUGUUUGAGUAUCAGUAAACACCUCAACUUCCAUAUCUUUUUUGAAAUGGGAGUUGGACUUGAGUGAUCCCAACGCUUUUCCUCACCGAAAAGUGGCGGGUUACUUGAAAUGCAGGUGCAGCUGGACUUUUCUCUGAGCUAUAAGCAUAUCUAUUUAGUCUGCCUAAAAAACAGAUUAUUACCUUUGCUGCAGCUAACAUAAAGGAGAUUAGUUCUUGUGCUGACUGAUGCAGGAUUCACAAAGACAGCUUCGGCCGACUUUGUAAACUCGAUCUCAAAUCAAGUAAGACUACCCGCUGAACUUAAGCAUAUCAAUAAGCGGAGGA